rnacentral:rRNA from 1 species
GAUGAACGCUGGCGGCGUGCCUAAUACAUGCAAGUCGAGCGAACAGACGAGGAGCUUGCUCCUCUGACGUUAGCGGCGGACGGGUGAGUAACACGUGGAUAACCUACCUAUAAGACUGGGAUAACUUCGGGAAACCGGAGCUAAUACCGGAUAAUAUAUUGAACCGCAUGGUUCAAUAGUGAAAGACGGUUUUGCUGUCACUUAUAGAUGGAUCCGCGCCGCAUUAGCUAGUUGGUAAGGUAACGGCUUACCAAGGCAACGAUGCGUAGCCGACCUGAGAGGGUGAUCAGCCACACUGGAACUGAGACACGGUCCAGACUCCUACGGGAGGCAGCAGUAGGGAAUCUUCCGCAAUGGGCGAAAGCCUGACGGAGCAACGCCGCGUGAGUGAUGAAGGUCUUCGGAUCGUAAAACUCUGUUAUUAGGGAAGAACAAAUGUGUAAGUAACUAUGCACGUCUUGACGGUACCUAAUCAGAAAGCCACGGCUAACUACGUG